rnacentral:misc_RNA from 1 species
GUUAUAGAAAGGAAAUGAAAUUUAGAGAAAGAUUAAUCAACUCUACUUUAUUAGUGUUUAGGGUUUUAAGAGAAAUAGGAGAUACGAAAAGAGGAGAGUGGGAGAGAAUGAGAAUAGGAAAGGAGAGAAGAGGAGAGAAACCCUAAAAAUUUCAAAAAAAAAAUGUUACUUUGAAAGACGUGCCAAGCCUUGCCUCACUCCUUCGCACCUUGAUGAGAGAGGCGCUCGCUUCUUAGAACUAAGGCUCGCCUCACCUCGCCUCACACCUUACUCAACACCUUUUAGUGCCUUUAGUAACAUUGCUCUAAAGUACUGAUGAUGUAGAACCCAAAAUAUUUUUGGCUUAAUGCUAAAUUUGCCCCUAUAUUUAUUAGAUAUAUCCAAUUUAGUCUGUUUUCUACUUUCGAGCCUAAUCUGCCUAGAAGUUUCAAUUUAUACUCAAUUUGGUCCAAUUUCUUGGUAAGUGAGAAUAAGAAGUAGUGAGCACGUGGGUUGAUUUAUAUUAGGAUUAAUGG